AACAUGUUUUCAGAUUUUUAUGAUGAAUCAAACCAUUGUGUAAACGCAAAACUCUGUUUUUUUUAGCACUUUAAUGCAUUUGUACUCAAUCUUGAUUGCCAGAUGCAUGGCGAAUCUAUUCCAUUCAAAACAGCAUUCAAAGUAAUUCAAAUGGAGAUAUACAUUAUUGUCAGAAUGUCCAAAAUGCCACAAAGAUCCAUGGGAUUCUUCUCCAUUAUUGGUAAUUGUGACCAAAUAAAUCUGUGAAUUGCAGCAAAUUAAGGGAAGUACUUGGUCUCAAAUGUAUUUCAAUAGGAUGAGAGAGGGCUAGGAUUGAGUACCAGCCAAUGGUACUUAUAUUUCUGCAGCAAAGUUGUUCACUGUACUUUGUACUUGCUCUAGUCUUUUGCGUGUGAUGAAAUAUCAUUAUUUUCUUGCUUCUCCAUCGAACAUUCACUCUUCCUCUAAAUUUUCAGAUAUCCUGUUGAGAAUACUUUCUGCUUCAGCUUCAAGAUGUUGCAUACGUUCUUCAAAGGCAGCUACCAAUCCAGGAUUGAAGAUGGCACCUUCAUUGCACUCAUUUGCAGACCCACAACUUGGUAUAGAAUAGCUGCCAAACUUUGGAGUUCUAUAAGCUCCAGGAGAGUAAACUUGUCCACCAGAGUGAAGCCAUUCCCGAAGGCUUGCAACGGCUGUGAAUUCAAUAGCACUUGGAAUUUCAAGCGAGUCUAGCCCUUCAGCCAUUGUCUUUCUUUUAAGACCCUUCUCUAAGAUAUUCCCUUCUUGAGGAGAGUCCUCUCCCUUUUCCAUCUUUGUAAUGGAUCUAUUUGGAUUUGCAACCUGUUCUCUAGUUUCUAGCUCUGAAUUUGACAUGAUGGAAGUCUUCUCAGACCUGGUGUUCUCUUCUAGGGAAGUUUUGUCCUGGCCAUCAGAAACCUGCAGCUUGGUUAUUGAUCCAUUAUCGUCGCUAUAAGAUCCUGAUUGGCAUGACCCAGACAGCCUAAUUUUUUCUACCAAGGUAUCAUAUUCCUCUACUGUGUGAAAACUCCUAGCUUUACCUACACCCUUAUGAUUCCAUCCUUCUUCUUUAGUCCCAUCAAACUUUCCCGGACUUGGAGAGGGCAGCUCAUGCUCUUUAAAGCAAUGAAAACUUCUGGAUCUUUUAAUUUGAUCAACUCUUGGAGCUGCUGGUUCUCCUUGUUUUCUAUCUUCACCUUGUUCUAGAUUUGACACAAACUCCAAUGAGUUACUGGUGUUCAGGGCAUUGCCAUAGUCAACUACUGGUUUUGGGGUUUUGUCCGAAAGACUUCCAGACCUGAGUUUGUUAGCUACUGUAUUAGCUGUAUAAACAAGAGCAAGGAACUUAUCAUUGAUAUUUUGGGAGAUGCCCAAUUCUUCAACGGCAGGAUUGCUAUUGGCUGACCUUUGCAUGCUUUGGUUCAGUUCUUCCCUUAAACUCAAAGAUCUAGGCAUGAGUUUGGAAGACAUGCAUCCCAUUUUGAUUUGACAAUGUUAACUCUUGACGUAGACCUGCACAAGAACUGAGGAACAGAUAGAGGCUUAAUCAAAAUUUAUGGAACUGUGGAGUAUCAUAUUGAAUCAGAAAUCAAAAAUUAAAAAUCUUGAAGGUGCAUGCCAUCUGGUGGAAACAAGAAGCUCUUUAGUUUGCAUUGGACUAACUAAUCUGUUUACAGAUCAAUAUUUCCAACUGUGGGAUCUUUAACUCAAAAGAUUUAAAGCAUUUCCCUCUGAUUUGUACAUCAAUUUUUAUCCAUGGAAUACAAUAGUUUGGAAUGUUAGUGAUAUAACUGAGCUAGAGAUCUUACCAAUAUGAAGA
rnacentral:misc_RNA from 1 species